rnacentral:rRNA from 1 species
GCGACUUGGGUAGGGGAGCGUUGAAUGUACGUUGAAGUCAGACCGUAAGGACUGGUGGAGCGCAUUCAAGUGAGAAUGCCGGUAUGAGUAACGAAAAGACAAGUGAGAAUCUUGUCCGCCGAAAGCCUAAGGGUUCCUGAGGAAGGCUCGUCCACUCAGGGUAAGUCGGGACCUAACGCGAGGCCGAAAGGCGUAGUGGAAGGACAACAGGUUGAAAUUCCUGUACCACCGUAAGCCGUUAUGAGCAAUGGGGUGACACAGAAGGGCAGUGACGCAGGCUGAUGGAAUAGCCUGUCCAAGCAGUGAGGCAGAGUCGUAGGCAAAUCCGCGACUCGUGUAAGCUAGGCUGUGAUGGGGAGCGAAAAUUGCAGUAGCGAAGGUCAUGUACUCCGGCUGUCGAGAAAAGCCUCUAGCCAGGCGAAGGU